GGAGUUUGAUCCUGGCUCAGAUUGAACGCUGGCGGCAUGCUUUACACAUGCAAGUCGAACGGCAGCACGGGUGCUUGCACCUGGUGGCGAGUGGCGAACGGGUGAGUAAUGCACCGGAACGUACCCAGUAAUGGGGGAUAACACAUCGAAAGAUGUGCUAAUACCGCAUACGCCCUGAGGGGGAAAGCGGGGGAUCGUAAGACCUCGCGUUAUUGGAGCGGCCGAUGCCGGAUUAGCUAGUUGGUGAGGUAAGAGCUCACCAAGGCGACGAUCCGUAGCUGGUCUGAGAGGACGACCAGCCACACUGGGACUGAGACACGGCCCAGACUCCUACGGGAGGCAGCAGUGGGGAAUUUUGGACAAUGGGCGCAAGCCUGAUCCAGCCAUGCCGCGUGAGUGAAGAAGGCCUUCGGGUUGUAAAGCUCUUUCGCAAGGAAAGAAAACUUAUCUACUAA
rnacentral:rRNA from 1 species